rnacentral:rRNA from 1 species
UACGGAGGGUGCAAGCGUUAUCCGGAUUCACUGGGGUUAAAGGGUGCGUAGGUGGGCUAGUAAGUCCGUGGUGAAAUCCCCGAGCUUAACUCGGGAACUGCCGUGGAUACUAUUAGUCUUGAAUAUCGUGGAGGUAAGCGGAAUAUGUCAUGUAGCGGUGAAAUGCUUAGAUAUGACAUAGAACACCGAUAGCGGAGGCAGCUUACUACGCGAUUAUUGACACUGAGGCACGAAAGCGUGGGGAGCGAACAGG